rnacentral:rRNA from 1 species
ACCCGCACAAGCGGUGGAUGAUGUGGAUUAAUUCGACUGCAACGCGAAAAACCUUACCUACCCUUGACAUGCCAGGAACUUGCCAGAGAUGGCUUGGUGCUCGAAAGAGAACCUGGACACAGGUGCUGCAUGGCUGUCGUCAGCUCGUGUCGUGAGAUGUUGGGUUAAGUCCCGCAACGAGCGCAACCCUUGUCAUUAGUUGCCACCAUUCAGUUGGGCACUCUAAUGAGACUGCCGGUGACAAACCGGAGGAAGGUGGGGAUGACGUCAAGUCCUCAUGGCCCUUAUGGGUAGGGCUUCACACGUCAUACAAUGGUCGGUACAGAGGGUUGCCAACCCGCGAGGGGGAGCCAAUCCCACAAAGCCGAUCGUAGUCCGGAUCGCAGUCUGCAACUCGACUGCGUGAAGUCGGAAUCGCUAGUAAUCGCGGAUCAGCAUGUCGCGGUGAAUACGUUCCCGGGUCUU